rnacentral:rRNA from 1 species
GAUACUUAGUGGCGGACGGGUGAGUAACGCGUGAACAAUCUGCCCUAUACAAAGGAAUAGCCUCGGGAAACUGGGAUUAAAACCGUAUAACACUUACAUAUCGCAUGGUAAGUAAGUCAAAUUGAUUAAGAGGUAUAGGAUGAGUUCGCGUCUGAUUAGCUAGUUGGUGAGGUAAUGGCUCACCAAGGCGACGAUCAGUAGCCGGCCUGAGAGGGUGAACGGCCACACUGGAACUGAGACACGGUCCAGACUCCUACGGGAGGCAGCAGUGGGGAAUAUUGCACAAUGGGCGAAAGCCUGAUGCAGCGACGCCGCGUGAGUGAAGAAGGCCUUCGGGUCGUAAAACUCUGUCCUUGGUGAAGAAAAAAAUGACGGUAGCCAAGGAGGAAGCCCCGGCUAACUACGUGCCAGCAGCCGCGGUAAUACGUAGGGGGCGAGCGUUGUCCGGAUUUACUGGGCGUAAAGGGUGAGUAGGCGGUUGUAUAUGUCAGAUGUAAAAGGCACAGGCUUAACUUGUGUAAGCAUUUGAAACUGUAUAACUUGAGUGCAGGAGAGGUAAGUGGAAUUCCUAGUGUAGCGGUGAAAUGCGUAGAUAUUAGGAGGAACACCAGUGGCGAAGGCGACUUACUGGACUGUAACUGACGCUGG